UACAGAGGUCUCAAGCGUUGUUCGGAUUCAUUGGGCGUAAAGAGUGCGUAGGUGGCGGGGUAAGUCAGGUGUGAAAUCUCGGAGCUCAACUCCGAAACUGCACUUGAUACUGCCUUGCUCGAGUACUGGAGAGGAGAUUGGAAUUUACGGUGUAACAGUGAAAUGCGUAGAUAUCGUAAGGAAGACCAGUGGCGAAGGCGAAUCUCUGGACAGUUACUGACACUGAGGCACGAAGGCCAGGGGAGCAAACAGG
rnacentral:rRNA from 1 species